rnacentral:lncRNA from 1 species
AGCCGCACACCUGGUAUAGUGCGUGGGUUGCAGGCUGCAGCAAUGAGCCAGAGCCGGAAUUUGGCAUGAAUUGCAUAGUCCUCUUCGGUGCUUGAUAGCUGUGAUAUGGUGUCCUUGUCUGCAAAGAGGAGAACGAUGGUCUGCAGCAGAGUGGGGAAACGGCUUCUGGUGGGAUGGCCUGGGAGCACAGGAACGGCUGGGCUGCUGUAGGCCUUGGCAUCAUGCUGCUCAAUGUGCAGGAUGUCCUGUAGCAGCAGGGCUUCGAAAGCUUCCUGGCUGAGGCUCAGGUCUAUUAUCUUUAGAUGCUUGAGCACAGCGUGAUCGAUUUCUACAAGAAAGCAGGGCAGGUGAGCUGGGCGCGUGGCUGCUGUCUACCAGGGCCCUGUCUAUAAGGUGCAGGCGUAUAGGGCUCUGCAAUGGGACUACCUCCUCAAACAGUGUGGCGUCUCGUCUCCCUUUUCUAUCCUCAAAGCCAGCUGGCAUGUGACCUUCUACCAGGAGAACAGCCCUUUGAGAUGGUCCAGAAGGAAGAUUUCAAACUCAACAGCAAUGUCCUUUUCAAAGAGCUGAAUUUCAGUUAUCAUCUGAGUGGCUGGACCAGAAAGUUUCCCAUCUUGCUGGAGAAAUCCAUUUGCUGCCCAUCUCUUUAUGCUCAAGUGGCAGCCUACGGGUGCGUGCGCUGUCUCAUCCUCCGUGCAAACGAUGAUAACUGUAGGACUGCUUCACCCAGCAUUGCUCCAUGUCUCUGCAGUAGUAGCUACCGGUGAGGUAUGACCAGAGCCAAGGAUGGCCACCCGGCUGCUGGCAAACAUGGGGAGCAAGCUUACCUGGACCUUCUCUUGUUUCAGGUGUGUCUGUAUAGACAGUCAUCUGCAUCUUUAGGCAAAGCCACUGGCCGGCAUUACUGAAACGGCUUGUUGGCUGAGCUGGAAACAUGAGAAUACAGCAAUCCUAGCUAAGCAUAGCCAGGGCUUUGUCUGGGUCACUCUGCCGGUGGUAAAAGAGAGUGUGGACNNNNNNNNNNNNNNNNNNNNNNNNNNNNNNNNNNNNNNNNNAUGAUGAUGAUGAUGAUGAUGCCUGUGCAGGUCCAGCUUUGAGCCCCGUGCAAGAACGACCAAGGCCAGAGCUAUGAAAAGGCUGUGUCUCAUUUUCCUCGGAGGAGAUAGGCUGUCCAGUGAAGGAGGCUAACAGUGUGGCAGGGACUGAAGAAAAUCCACCACAAGAAUCUCUCUCUGACUUUUGCAGAUGAUGAUACAAAACUGGGAGGAGUGGCUGGUACCCCAAAGGGCUGUGUUGCCAUUCAGAGGGACCUCGACAGRAUGGCGAGAUGGGCAGAGGACCAUUAUGAAGUUCAGCAAAGGGAAGUGCAGAGUCCUGCCCCUGGGGAGGAAUAACCCCAUGCACCAGGACAGGUUGGGGGCCGACAGGCGGGAAAGCAGCUCUGCAAAGAAGGCUCGGGGGGGGGGGGUGUCCUGCUGGACAACACCUUGACCAUGAGCCACCAG